rnacentral:rRNA from 1 species
AGUGAACGCUGGCGGUAGGCCUAACACAUGCAAGUCGAACGGCAGCACAGUAAGAGCUUGCUCUUACGGGUGGCGAGUGGCGGACGGGUGAGGAAUACAUCGGAAUCUACUUUUUCGUGGGGGAUAACGUAGGGAAACUUACGCUAAUACCGCAUACGCCCUACGGGUGAAAGCAGUGGAUCUUCGGACCUUGCGCGAUUGAAUGAGCCGAUGUCGGAUUAGCUAGUUGGCGGGGUAAAGGCCCACCAAGGCGACGAUCCGUAGCUGGUCUGAGAGGAUGAUCAGCCACACUGGAACUGAGACACGGUCCAGACUCCUACGGGAGGCAGCAGUGGGGAAUAGUGGACAAUGGGCGCAAGCCUGAUCCAGCCAUACCGCGUGGGUGAAGAAGGCCCUCGGGUUGUAAAGCCCUUUUGUUGGGAAAGAAAAGCAGCAGGUUAAUACCCCGCUGUUCUGACGGUACCCAAAGAAUAAGCACCGGCUAACUUCGUG